CACGUAAGGGGCAAGCGUUGUCCGGAUUUAUUGGGCGUAAAGAGCUCGUAGGUGGUUCGGUAAGUCGGGUGUUAAACCCCCAGGCUCAACCUGGGGACGCCACUCGAUACUGCUGUGACUAGAGUCCGGUAGGGGAGCGUGGAAUUCCUGGUGUAGCGGUGAAAUGCGCAGAUAAUCAGGAGGAACACCGAUGGCGAAGGCAGGAU
rnacentral:rRNA from 1 species